GCGGGUGUAGCUCAAUGGCAGAGCAGAAGUUUUCCAAACUUAUGACGAGGGUUCGAUUCCCUUCACCCGCUCCA
rnacentral:tRNA from 4 species